GGCAGGAUCAACCAGGUAGCAUCCCUAAUUGACAUAACCCGCCCGCUGGUACGAGCCAACACGGGACAGGCAAGUCUUUCAAGGUGUUGCGCCACUCUUUGACAAACUCUCCUGAUCCCAAUGGCAAAGCCGAUUCAGGCAAGACAGUAGGUUAUGUUAACUUUGGCAAACCCUCCUGAUGGCAAAGCCAAAUCAGGCAAGACAGUAGGCAUUGUUAACUUUGACAAACCCUCCCGAUGGCAAGGCCAAUUCAGGCAAGACAGUAAGCAUUGUUAACUUUGACAAACCCUCCCGAUGGCAAGGCCAAAACAGGCAAGACAGUAAGCAUUGUUAACUUUGACAAACCCUCCUGAUGGCAAGGCCAAUUCAGGCAAGACAGUAUGCAUUGUUAACUUUGACAAACCCUCCCUAUGGCAAAGCCGUUUCAGGCAAGACAGUAAGCAUUGUUAACUUUGACAAACCCUCCCGAUGGCAAAGCCGUUUCAGGCAAGACAGUAAGCAUUGUUAACUUUGACAAACCCUCCCGAUGGCAGGGCCAAACAGGCAAGACAGUAAGCAUUGUUAACUUUGACAAACCCUCCCGAUGGCAAGGCCAAACCAGGCAAGACAGCAAGUCAUGUUAAGAGAGGCACAAACGCUAAAUGAGGGCAAACCAAGGAUCCCAUGAGACCCCAUGCCCACAUCGUUUUCCAUAUCCAGGAUACCAAGCAACGCUCAUUGGGCCACAACAUCAACGCAAGCAUAAUGUUGUGGAUCAAAGAGACUGCUUUGUGGUUCAUCCGAUGCCACAAAAAUGGCACGAGACGAAAUCAACUGUAAUCAACCAAGACAAUACCAAUGCUUAGGUACGCAACACAGAAACCCACAAUUUGGCCAGGCAAUAGAUGCCCAAACAAACAACUUGAAGGAGGUAUGCCGGGUGG
rnacentral:misc_RNA from 1 species